rnacentral:rRNA from 1 species
UAGGGAAUCUUCCGCAAUGUGCGAAAGCCUGACGGAGCAACGCCGCGUGAGUGAUGAAGGUCUUCGGAUCGUAAAACUCUGUUAUUAGGGAAGAACAAAUGUGUAAGUAACUAUGCACGUCUUGACGGUACCUAAUCAGAAAGCCACGGCUAACUACGUGCCAGCAGCCGCGGUAAUACGUAGGUGGCAAGCGUUAUCCGGAAUUAUUUGGCGUAAAGCGCGCGUAGGCGGUUUUUUAAGUCUGAUGUGAAAGCCCACGGCUCAACCGUGGAGGGUCAUUGGAAACUGGAAAACUUGAGUGCAGAAGAGGAAAGGGGAAUUCCAUGUGUAGCGGUGAAAUGCGCAGAGAUAUGGAGGAACACCAGUGGCGAAGGCGACUUUCUGGUCUGUAACUGACGCUGAUGUGCGAAAGCGGGGGGAUGAAACAGG